rnacentral:rRNA from 1 species
GGCCCAGACUCCUACGGGAGGCAGCAGUAGGGAAUCUUCCGCAAUGGACGAAAGUCUGACGGAGCAACGCCGCGUGAGUGAAGAAGGUCUUCGGAUCGUAAAGCUCUGUUGUUAGGGAAGAACAAGUAUCGGAGGAAAUGCCGGUACCUUGACGGUACCUGACGAGAAAGCCACGGCUAACUACGUGCCAGCAGCUGCGGUAAUACGUAGGUGGCAAGCGUUGUCCG